rnacentral:rRNA from 1 species
AGAUUGAACGCUGGCGGCAGGCCUAACACAUGCAAGUCGAGCGGUAGAGAGGUGCUUGCAUCUCUUGAGAGCGGCGGACGGGUGAGUAAUGCCUAGGAAUCUGCCUAGUGGUGGGGGAUAACGUUCGGAAACGGACGCUAAUACCGCAUACGUCCUACGGGAGAAAGCGGGGGACCUUCGGGCCUCGCGCCAUUAGAUGAGCCUAGGUCGGAUUAGCUUAGUUGGUGAGGUAAUGGCUCACCAAGGCGACGAUCCGUAACUGGUCUGGAGAGGAUGAUCAGUCACACUGGAACUGAGACACGGUCCAGACU